rnacentral:misc_RNA from 1 species
GAUGAAGAACGCAGCGAAAUGCGAAAAGUAGUGUGAAUUGCAGAAUUCAGUGAAUCAUCGAAUCUUUGAACGCACAUUGCGCCCCUUGGUAUUCCAUGGGGCAUGCCUGUUCGAGCGUCAUUUCACCACUCAAGCCUCGCUUGGUAUUGGGCAUCGCGGUCCGCCGCGCGCCUCAAAUCGACCGGCUGGGUCUUCUGUCCCCUAAGCGUUGUGGAAACUAUUCGCUAAAGGGUGUUCGGGAGGCUACGCCGUAAAACAACCCCAUUUCUAAGGUUGAACUCGGAUCAGGUAGGGAUACCCGCUGAACUUAAGCAUAUCAAUAAGCGGAGGA